UGACAAAUAGAAAAAGUGAUAACAAUGAAAAUGAUUGCAAUAUUAUUAAAAUUCGAAAGAAAAAUAAAAGAACUUUCACUUAACGAAAACGAAAAAAAUCUCGGCCAAUGAAUAUUUUCGCAUCUACUACAGCGUUCAGAUUGCUGUUUUACGCUUCUGAACCUGCAGUGAGAUACGAAACACAAGACCAAUUAAGAGAUUACAAGUCAAACUAUGAUGGAGCCAGUCGAUACGUUGAAGAAAGGGAUCAAAACUUCGAAGGCCAUAGACCGACUCCUGAAAAUGUUAUUCACUUAACUGAAUGCAAUGCAAAAUGUUAGAUCUUUGAAAAUUGAUGCCAAAACUGCU
rnacentral:lncRNA from 1 species